AACGAUGAAGAACGCAGCCAACUGCGAAAACCACUGCGAAUUGCAGAACCAUGAGUCAGUAGAUUUUUGAACGCAACCGGUGCCCUCUGGGCAUGUUUGGUUCAGUGCCUCUUUUGCUUUCAACUGCGAGUGCUGAGCUCUCGCUAAGCUUUCCUG
rnacentral:rRNA from 1 species